rnacentral:rRNA from 1 species
AACGGGGGGGGCUAGUGUUAUUCAACGUGACUGGGCGUAAAGGGCAAGUAGACGGUUUUAAGAAUUGGAAGUUAAAAAAAGUUUUUAUUAACUUUAUGCUUUACUAUAUUCAUUAACUUGAGUUCAGUAGAGGGUAAUAGAAUUUUCAGUGUAGAGGUAGAAUUCGGUGAUAUUGAAGAGACUUCCUUUGAGCGAAGGCAAUUACCUAGUCUGAAACUGACGUUGAGAGGCAAAAGCGUGGGGAGCAAACAGG